rnacentral:rRNA from 1 species
AUGUAGAAUGUAAUGCUCCUUGUGGGCGAAAUGAAAUACAACUUUCAGCAACGGAUCUCUUGGCUCUCGCAUCGAUGAAGAACGCAGCGAAAUGCGAUAAGUAAUGUGAAUUGCAGAAUUCAGUGAAUCAUCGAAUCUUUGAACGCACCUUGCGCCCCUUGGUAUUCCGAGGGGCAUGCCUGUUUGAGUGUCAUGUUAAUCUCAGCUCCCUUGUUUUCUUAACUCGGGCGUUGGACUUGGAAGUUGCUGGCCCCUCCGCGGUCGGCUCUUCUUAAAUGCAUUAGCUGGGCUUUGGCUCGCGUUGAACGGUGUAAUAGUAAUCUUGCAUUCACCUGGACGCUUGCCUAACAAGUCUGCUUCUAAUCGUCUUCGGACAAGGCCUUUGUUGCCUUCACUUGACACCUUGACCUCAAAUCAGGUAGGAUUACCCGCUGAACUUAAGCAUAUCAAUAAGCGGAGGA